GCCGGGCGUGGGGGCUCACGCCUGUAAUCCCAGCACUUUGGGAGGCUGAGGUGGGUGGAUCACCUGAGGUCAGGAGUUUGAGACCAGCCUGGCCAACAUGGUGAAACCCUGUCUCUA
rfam:Pan troglodytes isolate Yerkes chimp pedigree #C0471 (Clint) chromosome 7, whole genome shotgun sequence.